UGAGGAACAUGACUUUCGGCGGGGGAUAGCCGGCCCAACGGCCGGGUAAUACCGCGUACAACCUUCCGGGGACAUCCCUGGAUGGUGAAAGCAGCAAUGCGCCGAUGGAGUGCCUCGCGGCCUAUCAGCUAGUUGGUGAGGUAACGCUCACAAGGCGACGACGGGUANCUGGUCUGAGAGGAUGGCCAGCCACAGUUGGGACUGACGACGACCGGCCCAAGUACCUCCGUAACGGGGAGCAG
rnacentral:rRNA from 1 species